CGACCUGCCCUGGGUCCCGGUGGUGGUAAGGGGGCACAUUGCCCCACCGUGCCCCUGUCCUUCCCCCGAGUGGCAGCAGGCGUCACCCUGUCCCCUUCUCUCCCUGGUGCAGGGACUGCCAGGGACUCAGGGGAGGAGGAGGAGGAAUGGGUGGACGUGGCCACAGAGGAGGCUGCUCUCAAUAACAGCCGAGAGCAGCUCCAAGGCGGAGAAAAGGUACAAACGUACCCCAGCUGUGCUGGAACCGAGACUGUCCUGCCCCUUCCCAGCACCUGACCCCCUGCAGAGGGUCUUGUCCCUGAUGAUCCACCAGCCCUAAUGGGGACCUUUCUCCUCCAUGAUCUGGGACCCCAGAGGUGGGGGUGUCUGUCACACACCACCCGGGUUUUCUCCCCCCACAGGCAUUGUCCCAGUUCCUGACCCUGCUUGUGGUGGAGUGGUGGGUGAUUUGGACAAUGGGCGGGUCCCCACUAUCCCCCAUUCAGGCCUGAGUCCUGCAGCUGCUGUGUGGGGGCAGGGAGGUCCCUGGCUAACUGGCUCUCUCUCCCCUAACCCCACUCCUGGUGGGUGCAGGAGGAGGCCCAGCAGCUCGUGUUCCUGCACGCCAUCCACCCCGCGUCUAGCUGCACAGCAGAGAGGGCAGGACACACUGGUGCCGCACUGCUGCAAGGAGAGGAUUGUGGAGCUCAUUGAGGAGCUGCCUGAUAACUCUCCACCAGGCGCCGUCCUCGCUAACUCCCUGAUUGCUGUGGGCAACCUCAGGAUCUGCCUAGGGUCUUGCCAGACCUCCUGGACGCCAUGCUGGGGAACCUGCUGGCAGAGUCCCCAGACACCGACAGGCUCCAGUACAUCUUGGAGCUGAGCCCGAUGAGAGGGGUGGGGGCAAUUUUACCUUCACUCUUAGAUCCAUUUUCCAGUCUGUCCUCCUAGCCGGGCCCCCAGUGGGCAUCCUUGGUCAGGGCAGUCAGUGCAAUGCCUCCUUUCCCCACAGCACAUUAACUACUGGAUCAUGUCCAGGGUGCCGCGAGAGAGAGCCAGGGCCGUUAAGAGCAGCACGGCCCUGCUCAGAUCCACCAUCACCCUCCCUGAGUUUGACGUAAGUGCCCUCUGACCCCAGCUUCCUGACUCCAGGGGUAGGUGGGCUGGCUCCGACGGGCUGUAGGAUCUGCUGCUGCAGGGGCUGUGGGUUAGGAAUAUUCCUCUUGGGGAGGCAGAGUCAGAGCAGAGAGUGAGCCUGGCUUGAGUCAAGUUCUUAUUGUCCUAGUUAAGUGGUGACUCUGGGCUUUUAAGGGGACUGUGCUCCAGGUUCAUGCCUCCCUGUCAUCCUGGAGCAGCUGGGGAAGCAUGUCCUCAUGGAGGGCCCUGCCCACAGCCCUGUGCUCCAGGCUUCCUUGGGGGCAGAGGAAAUUAAGGGUCUGGCUCUAGCUCCUACCCUCUAGCAUCUCCUGCAGAGGGGCUGAGGGGAAGGAGAGUCCUGGCCCGGGGGGGACUGGGAGCUGACAGGAAAAUGCUGAUGGAGUCCCCUCUCCCUCUCCCGUCCAUUAGAACUCAGCGGAAUUCCCCAGGAUGGGUCACCACAUGGCACAGCUAGCUCUGUCCGUCAGUGACCCAGCCAAGGACAUCAGCCGGCAGGCCAGGGAGGGGGUUUACUGGCUCUACCAGCUGCUGCUACACCAGAGGGGUAAGGAACCCAGCUGGGAAAUGGCACCUGCUAGAAGAGUGAGACUGGGACCCCAGCCAAUUUCUCUCAGACUGACCCCGGCUGGAGGAUGAGUCUCUCUAUCUCUUUCUGUGUUCCACACCAUGCCCUGCAAUUCUGUUGGGCUGGGCACGCAGCGAGGACUCUGCCCACUGUGCAUCCACCAAUGGGAUUGGAAGGACACAAGCCCUGCAACCAGAAGGACAAAUGUGUGUGUGUCUCUCUCCCUGUCACCUACUCCCUCCUGGGGGAAACCCAGCAGCUGAUGGGGGACAAGGUGAGCAGCUGCAUUAGACUCAGGAGAUUGGGGUGGGGCCCAGGCCUCAUUCCCAUCCUGUGGCCAUUCGCUGGCCUGGCACAAGGAGCCUGGUGGGGAAUGAAAGGGAGAGCAGGUGCUCCUGGGAAGGGAGAUGAAUUCACCUCCAUGAGCAGGAGCGAGCCAGCUUGUCCCCGGAGCAGCUCCACCCAGCUCUUUAGCCAGGCUAAUUAAUGACAAGCUUUGCCUCAUCCCAGACAGGGAUGUUCUUAGGACAGGGUGCUAUCGCUCUUGGGAAGGGCAGGAGAGUCCCCCAAGUGCCCUCUGCGAGACUCUCCUGUCCCACAGGGCCGCACCCAAUUCCUAGUGGUCUGGUGUCUGUGUCACCCAAGCCACCACCCAGAGUUGCUCCCAUCACUGGCAGCCUGGGAGGCCAAGGACUGACGGGUGAUGGCGUCUGACCAGGCAGGGCUGAGGCACAUGGGCAGGGGACGCUUGUCCUGCUGCUGGCAAGGCUGGACCCGUUCUGGAGAGAACAGGAGGAUUCAGUCAGCAGUAGGGUUACC